rnacentral:rRNA from 1 species
UACGAAGGGGGCUAGCGUUGCUCGGAAUCACUGGGCGUAAAGCGCACGUAGGCGGAUCGUUAAGUCGGGGGUGAAAUCCUGGAGCUCAACUCCAGAACUGCCUUUGAUACUGGCGAUCUUGAGUCCGGGAGAGGUGAGUGGAACUCCGAGUGUAGAGGUGAAAUUCGUAGAUAUUCGGAGGAACACCAGUGGCGAAGGCGGCUCACUGGUCCGGUACUGACGCUGAGGUGCGAAAGCGUGGGGAGCAAACAGG